rnacentral:lncRNA from 1 species
CACAGUUAUUUUGAAAUUCAUUAAUGUUGUUUAUAUCAACAGUAUAUCAUUUUUUGCUGUUGAUUGCUGAGUAGUAAAUGUUCCAUUGUAUGGAUAUACCAUAAUUCAUUCACCUAUUGAUGGGAAUUUGAGUUGUUUCCAGUUUUUGGCUAUUAAAAAUAAAAUUGCUUUGGACAUUGGUGUAGAAGUCUUUCUAUAUAUGUAAAAUAUUUGAUAUUUAUUACCACAUUUUUUGCUGGGAAGGUUACGUGGGUAAUAUAUUGAAAUAGACAAAGCUUAAUAUGAAACUAGCAUUUUUUUUUCUUUUUAAGAAACUUUGGAAAUAUAUCUUUGGGAGUAUUUAGAAUUUUUAGAUGUAACUUUAUUGGAUUAACUUGAUAGAAAUUUGAAAUUAAUAGAUUACUAAGUGCUUCUUAGCAACUAUCAACCUUUUUCACAGUUUGUUUUCUUGAAUCAUCUACUUGUAUCAAGUAAAUGUGUUGUCUAAGAAGCAAAAAUCUGUUGCUUGCCUUUAGUGGUAAAUUAGUAUUUCAUAAACAACUCAUAUUUCUCUGUGAAAUGAGUCUAUUGAACUUGAACAAGAAAAAAUACUAAGAGAAGUUUAUAGAACUUCACAAAAGAUACUCCAGAAUCUGGUUUGGAAUAGAUGCCAAACUCUUUUUUUCCUUUUCCUAAGACACUCACUAGAUUGAAGGAGGAGCGGGAAUCUGAAGACUCCAAAUGACAUCAGAGUUACUUUUCAGCAGCCUUCUCAGUUUCCUUUCUCAGAAAGCAGAGACUCCAACCUUGGAGAUGGACGAACACUGAUAUUUGCAUUUACUGGGGAACAGAAGAUGAAGAAGGAAAAGCAGUAUAUUCACUGAGGAUUUUGUCUGCUUGCCACCUCAGCUCUGUGUGUAGAGGAAUUCUGCUGCUGUUUCUUAUUUGGGAGUUGCCAGCUCUGAGGUCAGACUGCGUCAUAGCCUGCCUAUCUUUUGUCUCAUCAUUGCCAGCCAGCAGUAAUCCUGGUCAGAAUGGAACCGUAUACCUCUGUCUAAUUACUGUGGAAGGUGAUAAACCAACAGUCACUCACUAAAGUUAGAUCUCACUCCCCUGCAGAAAACCAUUCCUCAAAGUGAAUAGAAACCAAGCCCU